rnacentral:rRNA from 1 species
GAUGAACGCUAGCUACAUGCUUAACACAUGCAAGUCGAGGGAAAACGACAUCGAAAUCUUGCUUUUGAUUGGCGUCGACCGGCGCACGGGACAGUAACGCGUAUCCAACCUGCCCAUCACUUAGGAAUAACCUUCCGGAACUAAGACCAAUAACCAUUUACAUCCCACUAAUACAUCUGAAUGGGAUUAAAGAUUUAUCGGUUAUGGAUGGGGAUGCGUCUGAUUAGCUUGUUGGCGAGGUAACGGCUCACCAAGGCAACGAUCAGUAGGGGUUCUGAGAGGAAGGCACACCACAUUGGAGACGCGACACAGACCAAAAUGGUACGGGACGCAGGAGUGAGGAAUAUUAGUGAAUGAGCGAGAGCCGGAAAAAGCCAAGUAGCGUGCAGGAUGACGGGCAUAGGGGUUGUAAACUGCUUUUAUAAGGGAAUAAAGUGAGUCUCGUGAGACUUUUUGCAUGUACCUUAUGAAUAAGGACCGGCUAAUUCCGUG